UACGUAGGUGGCAAGCGUUAUCCGGAUUCACUGGGUUUAAAGGGUGCGUAGGUGGGUCUGUAAGUCAGUGGUGAAAUCUCCGUGCUUAACAUGGAAACUGCCAUUGAUACUAUAGGUCUUGAAUCUUCUGGAGGUUAGCGGAAUAUGUCAUGUAGCGGUGAAAUGCUUAGAUAUGACAUAGAACACCAAUUGCGAAGGCAGCUAGCUACAGGGGUAUUGACACUGAGGCACGAAAGCGUGGGGAUCAAACAGG
rnacentral:rRNA from 1 species